rnacentral:rRNA from 1 species
AGUGAACGCUGGCGGAAGGCCCAACACAUGCAAGUCGAACGGCAGCACAGUAAGAGCUUGCUCUUACGGGUGGCGAGUGGCGGACGGGUGAGGAGUACAUCGGAAUCUACUUUUUCGUGGGGGAUAACGUAGGGAAACUUACGCUAAUACCGCAUACGACCUACGGGUGAAAGCAGGGGAUCUUCGGACCUUGCGCGAUUGAAUGAGCCGAUGUCGGAUUAGCUAGUUGGCGGGGUAAAGGCUCACCAAGGCGACGAUCCGUAGCUGGUCUGAGAGGAUGAUCCGCCACACUGGAACUGAGACACGGUCCAGACUCCUACGGGAGGCAGCGGUGGGGAAUAUUGGAUAAUGGGCGCAUGCCUGAUCCAGCCAUACCGCGUGGGUGAAGAAGGCCUUCGGGUUGUGAAGCCCUUUUGUUGGGAAAGAAAAGCAGCAGGUUAAUACCGCGCUGUUCUGACGGUACCCAAAGAAUAAGCACCGGCUAACUUCGUG